ensembl:snoRNA SNORA70 Small nucleolar RNA SNORA70
CUACAGAGGGAGACUAGCUCAAAAGAAAAACAACCCCACAGGGCCUAGUGUGCAACGGUUACAAGAGCAGCUUCCUUAGUAGUUUAUGUAGUCUGUUGCCUAAAUGAGUUGCCCUAAGGGACAGAUGGACCUUGGAGACAAUU